rnacentral:rRNA from 1 species
CCUACGGGUGGCAGCAGUGAGGAAUAUUGGUCAAUGGCCGGAAGGCUGAACCAGCCAAGCCGCGUGAAGGACGAAGGUGCCAAGAAUUGUAAACUUCUUUUGUCAAGGGACAAAAACAGGCCCGAGAGCCUGAACGAGGGUACUUGAAGAAAAAGCAUCGGCAAACUCCGUGCCAGCAGCCGCGGUAAUACGGAGGAUGAGAGCGUUAUCCGGAUCUAUUGGGUUUAAGGGGUGCGUAGGUUGACUGUUAAGUCAGCGGUAAAAGCCCGGGGCUCAACCCCGGCGAGCCGUGGAAACUGGCUGUCUUGAGAUGUCGAGAGGUAUGCGGAAUGCGCAGUGUAGCGGUGAAAUGCUUAGAUAUUGCGCAGAACUCCGAUUGCGAAGGCAGCAUACCGGCGGCGAUCUGACGCUGAGGCACGAAAGCGUGGGUAUCGAACAGGAUUAGAUACCCCUGUAGUC